rnacentral:tRNA from 1 species
GCUAAGUUGGCCGAGUGGUUAAGGCGCCAGACUUAAGUCUGCAAGCAAUCUGGUGGGUGCAUGCCCGCGUGAGUUCGAACCUCACACUUAGCA